CAAUGGUGAGGAGUCCUCAUCAAAAUCAAAAAAUCUAAUUUCUUUUACAGGACCCAGAUGCUAUACAGUGGGAAAACAAGCCUGGCAACAUAGUGCGUAUUAAUAAAAGGACACCACAUCCUGCCAAAUUCCAGCUGCGCUAAUUGUAUUGUGUUCACAGAGCUCACAAGCUAUCAGAAAGUUGUAUGGCAACCACCUCCGGCGCCAAAUAGAACUGGCAGACAUAGACAUUCAGUACAAGAAGAAAAAGAUGGAAAAUCUUGCACUGGAGUCCGAAAUAAAAAAGAGGACAAUUAGGAAACUGGACCUUGAAAUAAAAAAACUUGAGAGGGAGCUCCAAGAAGAUGACACAGCUCAAAAUAAAAAUUAGGUAUAUUCUCGUAAAGUCAAGUGAGCCAUGACAUAUGAGCUCUUAUUGUGAGCACACAGGACGGUGGCAUCUUUCUAAGGUUUUUUUUAUUUUCCCAGCAAUCAGUACAACCAAGUCAUCGUUAUAAGGCAUCGCCCUCUUUUGCCCACCCCCCCAGCACCAGGUGUGGCCACUAGCCUAUAUGAAGGCCCAAAAUUGUGUGUUCCUUUCUGCUCUGACAAUGGCAUGCCCAUUCGUGCGAGAUGUGGUGGAUGAAGAAGCACUUGUGCUGAGGAGAGCCUUCAGGCGAGAAAGGGUCUUCAGGGACCGGUUGGACCCACUGGCCUUCCCUGAUGACCAUCUAUAUGAAAGAUACCUGAUGCCAUCUGCAGAAUACUGGGUCCCAGGAUUAAGCACCGCACUGCACGGAGCCAUGCACUGAGUGUGGAGCAAAUGGUUUGUGUGGCCUUGCGCUUUUUUGCUAGUGGAGCCUUCCUGUACUCAGUGGGGGAUGCUGAACAAGGCCACAAUUUGCCGCACAAUAAGGAGUGUGUGUCUGGCUAUCAAAGCAUUAGCAGAUGUCUUCAUCUCCUUCCCUGGCCACAGAAGACUCUGUGACAUCAAAGAGGAGUUCUAUAGGAUUGCAGAUGGUCUGCAAUGCUGACUGUGUGAUCAGCAAUGUUGUGGCAAAAUGGCCUGGCUCAGUCCAUGACUCCAGAAUCUUUCGGGCCUCUGAAAUCUAUCAGUGCCUAUCACAAGGUGAAUUCUCUGGUGUGUUGCUGGGAGACAGGGGUAUGGCUGCCAGCCUUUUCUCCUGACACCUUUCACAGACCCCCAGGAAGCACAGCAGGCCUACAACCAUGCCCAUGCCAGGACCAGGGCCAGAGUUGAAAUGACCUUUGGCCUCCUGAAGGCACGCUUUCACUGCCUUCACAAAUUAAGGGUCAGCCCUGUUAGGGCAUGUGAUAUUACUGUGGCUUGUGCUGUCCUCCACAAUGUGGCCUGCCUGAGGAAGGAGAGGGCCCCCAGAGUGCCACCAGCCAUGGACUGGGACAAUCCGGCAAUCUUCCCUGAUGACGACAGUGGUCGGCUGCUGAGGGACCAAUAUGUGUUGAAUUAUUUUAGUUAGUAUGUGUGCUUUCAAUUUUGGUUAAAUAUGUCCUGCGGUGGCAGAGGAAUUUGGGUUUUUUGGGUUCGUUUUUUGACGAAUUUGGCCUCUUAUGAUGUUUGUGUGGUAUACUGUGUGUAAUACAAGGCUGCAGGGAGGCUACUGCAUCCAUUCAUUUGUCUGUUCAGUUGAUGUGUAUGGAUUUGUCCUGCAUUUAUUUUAGUGUGCAGACAUGCAGGGUGUGUUAUAUACAGACCUUUGAAUGUGUAUGUAUCAUUUUGUAUAAUAUGCUUGGAUUCUGUGCUUUCCAUCUUGUAGAGUCACUGUGACUUCAGUUUCGAAAGGAGCUGAUGGUUUACCUGCUUUGUUUUGUCCUUAUUCAAUAAAGGAACAUAAUGUUACACAUUGUGUUUUUAUAUUCAUAUGGAAUGUGUAUUUGUUUAUAUGACAGAGUACUAGGGCCACACUGAAGAAAAAGGAUAAAGUCAUACAUUUAUGAGGCUGGUUCUUUCUGCAGAAAAGCUACAUAUUGUUUUUACAGUUUUGAUACUUAUGACAAUGUGAUACUUAAUAUUCUGGCACAUCAGCAUGUCUUUGUUUAUGAAACCAUACUGAAGUACAAUUUCACGAAAUGCCCCACAUCUGUCAUUUUAACAACUGUCCUCCUUUAAAACAACUGGUUACAAUAUUAUGACUUGUGUUUU